GCACUGCUGAGGAGUCUCACAAUAGGAGGAAACAGUUGUUGAGUGC
rnacentral:lncRNA from 1 species